GACGAACGCUGGCGGCGUGCUUAACACAUGCAAGUCGAACGGAAAGGCCCUGCUUUUGUGGGGUGCUCGAGUGGCGAACGGGUGAGUACACGUGAGUAACCUGCCCUUGACUUUGGGAUAACUUCAGGAAACUGGGGCUAAUACCGGAUAGGAGCUCCUGCUGCAUGGUGGGGGUUGGAAAGUUUCGGCGGUUGGGGAUGGACUCGCGGCUUAUCAGCUUGUUGGUGGGGUAGUGGCUUACCAAGGCUUUGACGGGUAGCCGGCCUGAGAGGGUGACCGGCCACGUUGGGACUGAGAUACGGCCCAGACUCCUACGGGAGGCAGCAGCGGGGAAUAUUGCACAAUGGGCGGAAGCCUGAUGCAGCAACGCCGCGUGCGGGAUGACGGCCUUCGGGUUGUAAACCGCUUUCGCCUGUGACGAAGCGUGAGUGACGGUAAUGGGUAAAGAAGCACCGGCUAACUACGUG
rnacentral:rRNA from 1 species